GGCAGGGGAGGGGAGGCUCCCGCCGCUGUCCCCCGCACCCCCAGUCUGGCUCCUGAGGCCUCGCCCUCGCUGCUUCCCGGAGGCAUCGGUUUGCAAGGCAACCGCCCUGUUACAUCCAGAACCCGAGAAGCCGAAUUUGCCCUUUGUUGUGAAAGAGCCGCGCGAGGCUGAGGGCCGCUGGAGCUCAGAGCAGGCGGGGCCAGGGCGGUGCCUUUGGGAGACCUGGUCUCCGGGCUUGCAAGCGCCCCCUCGCCGGCUCCCUCCGAGGAUCGGGGAAGUGAGCAGAAUUCUGGGAAUUCACAUUUUUAAGCAGAGCACUGUGUUUCUAGAAUUAGGCAGAAACUGCUCUGUAGCGCGGUAGAAAAUCAGACCGUGUCUGAUAAUGUCUCACCCACAAGGUCAGACCUUAGGAGUCUUUCAGCCUCUCUGGGCCCAAAUUUCCUUAUCUGCAAAAUAAAGCCCUUUCAGGAAUGACCUUCAGAGCCAAACAUCAGAAUUGAAAUUUCUGUGUGCAAACUCCACCCUCAGGGCAGCUAAUUCCUUAAGGGCCUGCUUCUUGGCUUUGCUUUCCAAGUAUUGCAACAGUAUAUUCUGGCUCCUUUUUAAUCUUGAAAAUGUUCCCUUCUGUUAGCCUUUCUGUAAUGGUUGGGGACAUGAGUAUGUGAACACUUUCUUGAGAUAAACUUUACCCAGGUGCACAAAAAUCAUUCAACACAUAUGUUGCUAUCCAUACUGUUUUUGAGAAUUCUGUUUUUAGUGCCUGAAGUCCACCUCAUGGUGUCUGCUUAUUUUUUCAGGAGUCUCAAUAUUCGAGAUUCUGAAGUUUCGCUUUUUAAAGACCAAGAAUUUAUUUCCAAGGGCCAGGGAUUUAGCUCAGCGGCCUAAGUGCCUGCCUGGCAAGCACAAAGUCAUGAGUUCUAUCCCUGGUACCAAAAACAAAAAAGGCAGGAAGAAUUUAUUUCCAGAGCGUUUGGAAGUGGAAAGGAAGUUUGUUCUUAUGGUUGUAUUUUGUACCACAAAUAACGGCAAAGAAAUGUCUGUGACCACAUAACUUGGCUUCUUUGGUCAACAUGCCUUCCCUUUAAGUGUGUUUAACACUGUAAUACUUUGAAAUGACUCAAACAGGUAGUCGUGGUAUAUCUGGGAAUGGCUAAGUGACCUUGCAAAUUCCUUGUUAGGUUUCAGUGCAGCGCACACUGAAGCGUUGUAAUGUGGCUGCAGACAGGAGGCUUCAGCUCAGAACAACUUAGUGUCACAUCUGGGCAUUACCUGUGAGGCCAAAGCCUCACUUUCCUUGCCUAUGAAAUAGGGAAAAUAUAAAGAAACAAAUAGGGAAAACAAUAGCUACCUUAAAUUCUAUAGGGAUUUAUUGUCGUAGCAUAUGCGCAAGAGAUUAGAAUGGUAUUUGGAACACAGUAAAUGUUUAGAAAAUAGUAAUUCACUUUACCCCCUCUUCUCUCUCUCUCUCUCUCUCUCACACACACACACACACACACACACACACACACACACACACACAGAGUAAAGGAGAUGGAACCUAGGGCCUUUGCAUUGAGCUGUGUCCCUUUUUACUUUUCUAUUGUGAGACAAAAUCUUGCUAAUCGCUGAGUUGCCCAGGCUGGGCUCCUUUGUGAUCCUUCUUAGCCUCCCAGAAUGCUAGAGUUAUAGGCCUGCACCACCACACCUGACCAAUAAUGAUCAUUUUGAUGGGCCAGAAUCAUUUGAAGAUCUUGGAACAUUUCUUUUCCCAUGGUGACUCACUAAAAAUAUUUGUCUGCCUCAGUGCUCCUCACUGAUUGAAUGAAAGUUGACUUAGAACUAGUAACAUGAGCAGUCUUUUGCAAGUGAGAAAAAAGUUUGUUUUUCUGGUUAUAUUUUGUAUCUCAAAUAUGCAAAAAGACUUCUGUGAAAUCUUCAAGUGAGAUGGUUGGGGAGAGGAGCAGGGAAGAGGAAAGGUGGUGAUCUUAAGAUGCCAGAUUACGGAAGCAUAAACCAAAGCCUUCUGGAUUCAUCACCACCUGCACCCAUGAUGGGCAUGGUUUUCGAACUUAGGGCAGUUCUGCCAGGUUGUCAUCAUUGCUGUCACCAUCGUCAUCAUCGCUGUCAUGUUUAGAACUCAUCUUGUUUUGUUGGGAAAUAGCUCCAGGAGAGGAAGACACUGCUUGGCCAGGAAGCUGUGCUGUACGGAUGACGAUAGUGGCCUUCUUCACUCUGUGGUUCAUGAUUGGAUUACUAAUAAAGGCUGGUGAUCAGGAAGAGAGUGGAUCUGAUGUACUUGUGUUCCCCGCCUACUGGGUCACGGUAGGUUGGUUCCAGCACCUACAGAAGGCCAUAGCUCUAAGGUAAAGCUACCUCUCUAGGUCUGGUAAAUACAUCACCCUUGGCCUUCAGACCUGGGUGUAGUCGGUAGUUCUUCACAGUUACUAAAUCUCUAGUGCUUUGGCACUCUUACUAGCAUUGCUUUAAAUGGUUUCUUUAGUUAGCACACUUAAUUCUAUCACAUUUGAUUGUAUAACUCUGGAUCAAUCGAUGAUGCAUAGCAUAUCAAGAAUGGUCUCAGAAGUGGCCUCAGGAUGAAAUCCUGGGACUAGAUGGUUCAUUCAUGUGAGAAAUGCACAGAUAGCCUCCUUGCCAGAGGAAACAGGGCCUUUAUUUUUUAGCAUACAUUGUCAUCACAGUUACCUCCCUUGAAAUCAUCACAUCACCUCCCUUGAUUGAAGUACAUGUGAAAGUCAGAGUUGGGAGAAGUGACUUUGAGGAAUUGAUGAUAUGGUGGCAAUAGUGAUUAUAAAAAAUUUUGGGUGUUCUGGGCAUAGUAGCUUAUGCCUAUAAUCCCAGCACUUGGGAGACUGAGGCAGGAGGAUUGCCUAGCCUGGGCUACAUGGUGAGUUUAAAGU